CUUGGUCAUUUAGAGGAAGUAAAAGUCGUAACAAGGUUUCCGUAGGUGAACCUGCGGAAGGAUCAUUAACAAAUCUGGUGCGUGGCGAAAGCCCCGCAUAUACACCCGAGCCGGUUCCGCAAGGGACUGGCUUUGGCUGGGCAGGCUGUCCCCUCUGGGGGGUGGCCUGCCUGCGACAGUGCCUGGUGCUGCGAGGUGCCUGGCCUGUCCACAUGAACGCUUGUAUGGUUUGACAGAGUACGGUUGUAAUGAAAAAUGACAACUUUUAACAAUGGAUCUCUUGGCUCUUGCAACGAUGAAGAACGCAGUGAAAUGCGAAAAGUAAUGCGAUUUGCAUGAAUCUGUGAGUCAUCAAGUCUUUGAACGCACCUUGCACCGUAUGAGCAAUUGUACGGUAUACCUGUUUGAGAAUCGUAAAACACUCUCCCCACCACCUGGUGGGGGACUUGUUGGCUGUGCGGCCUCGUGCCGCACGCCGAUCAAAAGCAGUAGGUUCAGACUAGGCUGGUGGCCUGGGACACUGUGUGCUAGAGACGUCGCCUCGGCUGACCGUCUUUCCACAGUGCGUCCCGGGCUAUCCAAGCCGGCCUAGUGACUGGCCUCCUCGGUGGCCGUCGGCAACGGCGACCACAACCCCCCCCUUUUGAUCUCAAAUCAGGUAAGGCUACCCGCUGAACUUAAGCAUAUCAGUAAGCGGAGGAAAAGAAACUAACAAGGAUUCCCCUAGUAACGGCGAGCGAAGCGGGAAGAGCUCAAAUUUAAAAUCUGGUAGGCCUCGCCUAUCCGAAUUGUAGUUUAAAGAGGCGCUAUCUGGCCUCUGCGCGGUGCUCAAGUCCCUUGGAAUAGGGCGUCACAGAGGGUGAGAACCCCGUCUGGGCACGGUGCAGAGGCCUCCAUGAGGCGUCCUCUACGAGUCGGGUUGUUUGGGAAUGCAGCUCAAAAUGGGUGGUAAAUUUCAUCUAAGGCUAAAUACUGGCAAGAGACCGAUAGCGAACAAGUACCGUGAGGGAAAGAUGAAAAGCACCUUGAAAAGGGAGUUAAAUAGUGCGUGAAAUUGUUAAAAGGGAAACGAUUGGGACCAGUAUUGCUGCUGGCUGUUCAGCGGCGCGUUGGUGCAAGCCUGCGUGUCGUGCAUUCAGCCGGUGGCGAGUCAGCGUCAGUUUGCGUUUCCGGAGAGAGGGUGGAGGAAGGUGGGAACGGCCUUCGGGUCGCUCUUUUAUAGACUCUGUCUGGCACGGGAGCGUGGACUGAGGUGUGCGGCCGCAGUACUCUUGGCUCGAGACCAGCCCCUAGGGCGCAGGACUACAUGUAGACCUGUGCCGCAAGGGCGGGAGGUAGGGCCCAGCAUGCGGUUCGAGGAUGCUGACGAAAUGGUCCUAAACGACCCGUCUUGAAACACGGACC
rnacentral:rRNA from 1 species